UGUGCCACACCGCAGGUAGAAGACAAAGAAGAAUCUUCUCGUCACCAUCAUGGUACCCCUCAAAGUGCGCCUAUAAAAAUGGGAAAAAAUGUCAGCUAGAUUCAAUUCGUCAGUGAGCCUCGCGGGCAAGGUGAGGGUGCGGUCGCCGUCAUGCAUGGGCAAGUCCCUUGUCCCAGAUCAACAUGUGUUGGCAAUGAGCACCAAAGAAGACGACGACCGUGAUGCACUGCACCCGUCCACCUCUAAGGACUCUCACUUUCGCUACAGCCUCAGGACAACCUUUAUUGUGCUGCUUGGACUUACACAUUCCUUAAUAGAGACGAAAAGUUUUCGUUUUCCCGUGGGGGAGAAACAUGAAAUAACGUACUCUGGCGGGAUUGGCGAACAAUGCAGGCCAGAGCAACAUUUUGGGGUGCCUGGAAUACUCUGAUGUAUGGGGAACUGCUGAAAUAAAGAAGAGGAAAAUGCA